UUGGAGGGCAAGUCUGGUGCCAGCAACCGCGGUAAUUCCAGCUCCAAUAGCGUAUAUUAAAGUUGUUGCAGUUAAAAAGCUCGUAGUUGAAUUUCGGGGUUCUACCGUUGGUCGGGCUAUUGUCUGUACUGGCGUGUAGAAUUUCUACCUUCUGGGGAACUAUCAUGUUAUUAAUUUAGCGUGGUAGGAAACCAGGACCUUUACCUUGAAAAAAUUAGAGUGUUCAAAGCAGGCUUAUGUCUGAAUACAUUAGCAUGGAAUAAUAAAAUAGGACGGUGGUCCUGUUUUGUUGGUUUCUGAAUCACCGUAAUGAUUAAUAGGGAUAGUUGGGGGCAUUAGUAUUCAAUUGUCAGAGGUGAAAUUCUUGGAUUUAUUGAAGACUAACUACUGCGAAAGCAUUUGCCAAGGAUGUUUUCAUUAAUCAAGAACGAAAGUUAGGGGAUCGAAGACGAUCAGGUACCGUCGUAGUCUUAACCAUAAACUAUGCCGACUAGGGAUCGGAUGAUGUUAAUUUUUUAAUGACUCAUUCGGCGCCUUACGGGAAA
rnacentral:rRNA from 1 species